GGGAACUGCGUUCUGANCUGGGUGACUAGAGUGUGUCAGAGGGAGGUAGAAUUCCACGUGUAGCAGUGAAAUGCGUAGAGAUGUGGAGGAAUACCGAUGGCGAAGGCAGCCUCCUGGGAUAACACUGACGUUCAUGCCCGAAAGCGUGGGUAGCAAACAGGAUUAGAUACCCUGGUAGCCCACGCCCUAAACGAUGUCGAUUAGCUGUUGGGCAGCAUGACUGCUUAGUAGCGAAGCUAACGCGUGAAAUCGACCGCCUGGGGAGUACGGUCGCAAGAUUAAAACUCAAAGGAAUUGACGGGGACCCGCACAAGCGGUGGAUGAUGUGGAUUAAUUCGAUGCAACGCGAAGAACCUUACCUGGUCUUGACAUGUACGGAACCCUCCAGAGACGGAGGGGUGCCUUCGGGAGCCGUAACACAGGUGCUGCAUGGCUGUCGUCAGCUCGUGUCGUGAGAUGUUGGGUUAANNNNNGCAACGAGCGCAACCCUUGUCAUUAGUUGCCAUCAUUAAGUUGGGCACUCUAAUGAGACUGCCGGUGACAAGCCGGAGGAAGGUGGGGAUGACGUCAAGUCCUCAUGGCCCUUAUGACCAGGGCUUCACACGUCAUACAAUGGUCGGUACAGAGGGUAGCCAAGCCGCGAGGUGGAGCCAAUCUCACAAAACCGAUCGUAGUCCGGAUUGCACUCUGCAACUCGAGUGCAUGAAGUCGGAAUCGCUAGUAAUCGCAGGUCAGCAUACUGCGGUGAAUACGUUCCCGGGUCU
rnacentral:rRNA from 1 species